UAGGGAAUUUUCGUCAAUGGGGGGAACCCUGAACGAGCAAUGCCGCGUGUGUGAAGAAGGUCUUCGGAUCGUAAAGCACUGUUGUAAGUGAAGAAUGCCAUAUAGAGGAAAUGCUAUGUGGGUGACGGUAGCUUACCAGAAAGCCACGGCUAACUACGUGCCAGCAGCCGCGGUAAUACGUAGGUGGCAAGCGUUAUCCGGAAUCAUUGGGCGUAAAGGGUGCGUAGGUGGCACGAUAAGUCUGAAGUAAAAGGCAACAGCUCAACUGUUGUAUGCUUUGGAAACUGUCGAGCUAGAGUGCAGAAGAGGGCGAUGGAAUUCCAUGUGUAGCGGUAAAAUGCGUAGAUAUAUGGAGGAACACCAGUGGCGAAGGCGGUCGCCUGGUCUGUAACUGACACUGAUGCUCGAAAGUGUGGGUAUCAAACAGGAUUAGAUACC
rnacentral:rRNA from 1 species